GCCUCUGCAUCCACCUUGAAAUUAGCUCCACAGACAUUACCUGAACUAUCCACCCUUGGCACUGGCUUCAGCUCAUUAAGUGGAUGCUCAUAACUCCUCAACCCACCAGAGGUUGUGAAGAAACAACCUUUGGGGAAAGGAGCAAAAGAUUUUCCACAACCCUUCUUCAUAGUUUCUACAUCAUCGGAGAGAACAAGCUGUCCUUCAGAAUCAGUUCCCCAAUGGAAGGGAACGCUCCCAUCAGCAUCAGAAGCAAAAAAUGAAGUUUUUGAGGAACUGUCAUAUAGGACAAACACAAAUUUCCCCUGAAUAUCUCUCACGACUUGAUCA
rnacentral:misc_RNA from 1 species